rnacentral:lncRNA from 1 species
UGCCUAUUAUUUUGUGACGCUAUUAUGGCUUUAGAAUUGGACCAGCCGCAUCCUGGAUUCAUGACAGCCUCUGACCCCUACUCCCAGAGCCCUGCCUUUUUUAAUAUGUGUAUGUACUCACCCACGAAUGCAUUCCUCUACUUAACACCUGUUCCUUUUUCCUCCCAAUGUCAUGAUUUGGAGUUAGACAUCNGAACUCUACUCCCUCUCUCUCUCUUUUUUUGUCUUUUUGCCAUUUCUUUGGGCCACUCCCGCGGUAUAUGGAGGUUCCCAGGCUAGGGGUCUAAUGGGAGCUAUAGCCACCACCCUAUGCCAGAGCCACAGCAACACGGGAUCCGAGCCGCAUCUGCAACCUACACCACAGCUCACGGCAACACCGGAUCCUUAACCCACUGAGCAAGGGCAGGGACCGAACCUGCAACCUCAUGGUUCCUAGUCGGAUUCGUUAACCACUGCGCCACGACGGGAACUCCAUUCUCUCUCUUUUUAAUCCUUUCGUGGAACCUCAGUGCCCGGGAGCAGAUGACUCGAAGCCCCUCCUGCCAAUGCUCCCAUCUGGGCCCAGGGAUGUCCGCUGCUCACUCAUCCCUUUGGUGGUCCCUCUGCUUUCUUUCGUUUGGGCAUUUACUUAUCUACACGGGCCCAGAGUCGGAAAACUUUAGGCUAAAGUUAACCCUCAUCGUUGGUUCCCUGGGUCCUUUUCCAGCUCAUCUUUUUCCAGAACUCUCCGUCUGCAGGUUCUUUCCUUUUUUGUGCCGGGAGUAUGCAUUUGGAGUCAUCCUAAUGCUUGGCUCAUAAUCACGUGACCCUGUCCUCCAUAGAGAUGUCCUCGCCCCCUAAUUUUAAAAAUACUCAUUUUGGGGGCUCUCUCCGUGUGCCUCCCCCUUUCAGUCACUCCUUCCCUCUCCUGCACCGUCUCCCCCGCUGGGCCUCAUCAUCUCAUUGUCACCCCUGGUUUACGCGUGUCCACCUCUAACUCAUUCUUUCUUCCAUCUAGGUUUUAUCCUUUAAUGACAAACUUCAGGUGCCCGAUACCCAAAGUUCACGGGUCGCUCCGCCCACGAUGACCUGACCUUGCUUCCGACGUGGCCCUAUGUCUAUCCCGAGUCCCGACUUCCUGACACAACCACUGACGUCCUGGGCAUCGGUGGGCUCUCACUCAGGGCACACUCUCACCCGGGCUUGAUUCCUUCUCUCCCUGUUUCUCUGUUUGCUCAUUCCUGCAUGCUUUCAUCCACGGAUGCAUCCAUUCGCUUGUUUGGACCAGGUCACACCUCCCAGCCGUGACCUCCCAACCAGAAUAGAACCUUCACAGUAUCUCUGACCUCCCAGCUCCUCCCACUGAAUUAACCACCCAGGUGCACACAACCCACGGUCCCCAACACAUACGCAUGGCAGGUGCAGGCGCAGGCACAGGAAAUGUUAGUGCAGCCAGAACCCGCCCCCACCGCCCCAGGGGCUCAUAUCCUACACAGAGGGGGUGGGGGUGGGUGGGGGUGGCAGAUCUGCAAUUAGGGCGGGAUGCCCCAGUCCCCGCUUCCCCAGGCCCCCUUCGGGGGGGCAGGCGCUUCCCCCUGGACCCCUGUGAAUGGCCAUCCCCAGGAGAAACCCGUUUCAAGACCCGAGAGCACACAGACACACACACGGCGGACACCGUCUCCCCGGUGGCCAACGACGGACAGAGUUCAUCUUAAAAUAGACGGCUUUGUCUGGAGCGAUAUAAAAAUAUUUUGGCCUUUCAGGGCAAAUACAAAAGGAACUACCCAUUAGCACUGCUGAGUGUCUCAGUCCCAAACAAUAAAGAACUUUGAAGAGGUUUAGCCGGAAACUUUGAAGACAGAAAAUCUGUCCAUUCUGUUUUCCAGACAAUUCAAGGAGGAGGGGGACGCGAAGGUCACUGGAGCGCCGAGCCCGUUCGAGAGGCUGGUCCCUCGGCCCUUGGAAGGGCCCCCCAGCAAGGCCACUUGCAUCCUAGCCUGCCCUGCGGCACAAGAGCCAAAGGGAGACUCGGUCAUGAAAGGGCCAUUCACGUGGCGCAGUGGGCACUGGAGGCCGCCUCGGGAACUCUUUGGCCGUGGAGGAGACACAGGAGCCUGAGGUCCGGCCUCAGAACACAAGCCCCCAGGGCCGCCCCUGGCUUGGCUCUCUGGGCACCCACCUCCCGUGAGCGGACCGCCACCCAGCGCUCACCACUCCCUCUCACCAGGCUGUUCUGGGUGGCAACCUGCCACCCUUGGUGACCAGCUACCAAUGUGCUCCCCACACCCCAGCAACUUACGAUUUCAGAGCUGGAGGGUGCAGGAGCCACAUGUCUGAGGUCCCUUCCGACGGAGGACACAGAUGAUGGCUUCAGCUGGAACGAGAAAGCACCAGGUUACUGAAACAGAAUCUGGCCCAGCGGAGGCAGGGCCGCCCCAACUCACAGCAGGCGAGGAGCUCCACGGCUAGCGCUCACUUGCUCUCACCUGCCCAGCGCCCCAGCCCGGCAUCCCCCACAUCUGGGGCAGGGGUGAUGGCAUAGAACAUGCCUCCCGGGUAGGGUUGGCUGGUGCUUCCUGUGAUGCCAAGCACUGUUCUGUGGAACCCAAAGGUUUAGGGCCACCGCCUGCGUGAGAGCUGAGCUGGAUACACCGAAAGCCAAGCUGGAAGGCUUCCUGGAAGGGAGGGUGCCGCGGGGGCACGGCCAAGCCAGUGUUAGUGCUCAGGGGGCAGCAGCAACUGGGCAGCUGGCCUUGGAUGAGACUAGGGAAGUGGGUCGUGGGGUCUUUCGUGGGCCGUGGGUCCUGAAACUGCAGGAUGGAAGAGGAGAGACGAUGCUGCCCAGACAAAGGUGUAUGCAUUUCCAGUAGCACCACGGACAAGCCACGACCAGGCACAACCAGUCUCUGACCUCGAGCAUCUGCCUUAAAAUUGUUUUUAAAAAAUGAGUUGAAUAAUGAUAGACCCAGGUUUUUAUAUCUGUCAAAACCCAUAGAUGGUAGGACACAAAGAGUGACCCCCUAACGAUGUAAACAACAGACUCGAGUUAAUAGCGGUUAUCAAGGUUGGCUCAUCAACUCGAACGCCUGCGCCACAUUAAUGUGAAUGGGGGAGAAGGGGGGCGGGGGGAUGAUGAGAAUUCCCUGCACGCGCCCCUCUCUCUGCAAAUCUAAAAUGACUCAGGACGGCCCUGAUGCCCUCAGGGGUUGAGGGCUCCACGCCGUCACCGCUGUGGCUCGGGUUUGAUCCCUGGCCCAGGCACUUCUGCAUGCUGCGGGCGUGGCAGACAUAGAUAAAUAAUGCAACUGCUCAGGAAAAUAAAGCGUCAUUUUUUUUUUUUUUAAUAUUUUAAGGGAGUGCAUUUUGGCUAGUGCAGGGGGGUAGGCAUGGCUGACAGGAGGUGGCUGACGGCUGAGGUGUGAACAGCACUGGAAGGUGGUGAGGGCAACACCAGAGUCUGGGGCAAGCCUGAGAGGGGCACAGUGCUCCGUGGGCCAGUGAGAACCCCAAGGAAGGAAGAGGCCCUCACACCCCCUGCCCUGACUGGGGCAGCCCUGCCCCCACCCCGGUUGCCUCUGUCCCUCCAACCCGGUGACUCACUCACUGGGGCACCCAAGACGCGGCCAGGGCACGGGACACCCGCCUCUCACUUCCUGUGCUCCUAAGAAUUCCCUCCCUGGCCUUGAGCUUCCCAAACGCUGCUCUCCCUCAAUUGCUUGAGUUUACAACCAAGAAACACGAAGUCUUUAAAAUAAAGAAAGACGUGCUCUUUAAGCAGCCAGCAGCUCAUGGGUGACCAAGGGCCGACUCUGGUUUUGUAAGGGCCCUCUGGGUGCCCAUGUUGUGCUCGAUGCCACCCAAGAGGGUCCCCAGCCCUCCCCAGGAGCCCGGGAGUGCCCAAGCGGCCCUCUCAUCAUCACUACGGUCCUACAAUGCCCAAAACAACUCCAGACCCAAACACGCAGCAAGACCACAGGCCCCAGCACCUCCCGUGGGAUUAAGAGCCGGGAAAGCGCUUUGCUGGGUGGCUCUGGUUGGGUUCUCUUGGGGGAAAUCAGAAGCAGCUCAGGGCAUCUGGGUUUUUUCCUGCUUCUGCCCCAGGGACCCCAGGAACCCUCCGAGCUCCUGACCGUCCAUAAUUAACCCCAGGCUGCUCUGCAAAGCUGCAGCCCCGCCAAAGCCACGCCUCGGUUCCCAAGCUUCAGGACCAGCCCGGGGUUUGCUGUGAUGGAGGAGCACGGCAGCGCGGGCUGUGAUGGGAACGGAUGGAGGUGCCGCAGGUGGAGCCACUGUCUGGAACCAAAGGAAAACACCAGGCCCCCUUCCAGCGUCCACAGGCCAUUGAGCGACAGCCUCACUGAGGCACGUGCUGAGCCCGUGAGCCACGCAGGAAGCAGGGGUGGGCACGUCGCAAACACGCUCCGGGGCUUAACAGGAUUGGAAAAUUCUAGCUCUGCCUCUCAAGACGUUAAGCGUUCCUCUCUUCUGGAGGCAACCAGAACCCAAUCGCUCUGGCACGUCUUCGGGUACAAAGAGCGUGGGAAUGUUUCGCGCGAGGAAAGAGGUCACAGGGUGAUUUUUCAUAAAAGCGGGGAUUCUGGGAACGAGAGCCACGAGUUUCCACAGAUCGCCAUCGGCCUGGCCUCAGAUCUCAGGCUUCCUACCUGUGUUGAGUUCAGACCACCCUCCUCCAGCUCCCCCCCCCCCGCCCCCGACCACCCCACAAAAGCAAGCUCUUUGCACAACUCAUUUCCUGUGCCUUUGUGGAGGCCAGGGCCCUGGACGUUCUGGGCUCAUUUAUGAAAAUGGGGGAGCUAAUUAGGACAUCUUUGGAAAUCACGCUCCCCCCCGCCUCGCCGGCCCCCACCGGCCCUCUCAUUUCAGGGGGCUGGGCUGUGGCGGCUGCUUACAUAUAUGCCUCUUCCUGGAAUUUCACUCUUUGCUUCAGGAGUGGGCAAUUAGAGAGAAUUAAGGCCUAUUUGGCGUAUGCGUACCAUUAAUGGACAGAGCCACGGAGGCAGCCUUGGGAAAGGCAGUCGGCGGGUCUAAGAGAAGCUGGCAAUUUUUCGAUUCCUCCUUUCAGCUCACAGGUACUGUAGCAACCAAGGUCACCAAACAAAGGCCGCAGCCCAGCACGGCGAUCGCCAAGCGCAGGCCCACUUCUGGGCGCUGUUUAUCACCACACACUGAAGCACAAAGACAGGCCGAGGGCUGCUUGCAAAUCGGAGCCCGAGAUGGGCAGCCAGGGGAGGCCCGGCCACUGAUGGCUUUUUCAGAAAGUUCUCAGCUGAGCGAGCCGGGGCGCCAACAGAGGUGUUGCCGAGGGUCUCGUGACGAAAAGGCCGUGCAGCCGGCCACAACCUCCCGGGGCUGUGGCCACAGGGCCAGGCCCACAACGAGGCCCAGCAAGGUGCUCCAGGCCUGGCCGGCGGCCCACCUGUUUGGAAGACAGUUCCGCAAAGUGCAAUCCCUGUCCCACAGCACGUGGGCAGCCCCUGGCAGCUGAUUCUGUGCCUGAGUCCUGCGUGUUCACAAAACGCUGACCGUGAGGACUGGCCAGGGACGGUCACCCAGUUGCUCAGCCAUGGGCCGUGGGCUUCACGUACAGGGCCAGCCAACUCUGGCCCCUCCUGUGUCUGGUUUCCUCAUCUCCAAAGCAGAAAGGCUUGGAAGGCAGAGGCCCAGUGACAUCCAGCCCUUGGGCUCUAAACACACGGCACCCACUGAGGCAGCGAGACGCUACCCAGAGUCCCAGGGGCCCUCGGGCGACUGAACACCUACACUGCCCCAUUUCACAGAUGGGAAGACUGAGGCCCGGGGGGCUGGAGACACGGGCCAAGGUCAUCCCCAUGGUGGGAGCUGAGCAGAGGCUGGGGCCGGGUCUCUAGAGCUGCCACCUGAACACCCGAUUUGAACUCUCUCCCCUAGAGUUCCCUGGUGGCCUAGUGGGUUAAGGAUCCAGCACUGUCCCCUCUGUGGCUCGUGUCACUGCUCUGGCACUGGUUUGGUCCCUGGUCCAGGAACUUCCAAAUGCCGUGGGCAUAGCCAAAAAAAAAAAAAAAAAAUCUUUUGAACUCUCUUCCCUGACUGGCAAGGCCUGAGCAGCAGGGUUGUGCCCUGUUCCCAGCCGGAAGGCCGGUGGAGGCCCAGUCUGGAUGCCAGGGAACCUCAGACCCCUCCUAUGUCAAAAGGGCACUCGCUUUCCAGCUCUGACCUCCCCUGCUGCUUCUGCACCUGACAGGCUACUGUCUCAUUUUACAGGAGGGGAAACCGAGGCCCAGACACCACAGUGACAAUGACAGUGGCCAAGACCUGGUCCCUGGACUCGUCCCCCCAACUCAUGGCAGGGCCUUUGCCCCUGACUCCCCCAGAGGGGCGUGAGCCCUCAGGACAGUUUGGGGCAGUGGUGGCACAAACAGUUUUCCCUCUAACUCUAAGGACCCCCCCUUGCUCAGGGCUGCCCCCACCCUGUGGGCCCUGCUGUCCCCCUGCUCCCUGGCCCUUUCGGACUCAGAUGCCAGCCCUCUGGACCGCCAGCUGCUCAGCCUGGUAGGAAUGGCUCUAUCCCCACCCACAGGACAGCCCGGAGAAGGGGCUGGAAAGGCGGAAGGCCCCGCGCAGCUGCGACCUGGGGAGCCAGCACAGGCGUGCGGUCCGUCCUUGGCCCCUGAGGGUCCUCCCCCAACUUUCCAGCCCAGGGUUCUGGCCACCUCUGUCUCCGGCUGUCUCUCGGGCACCAGGCCCCGUUUGAUGCAACUCUUGUUUACAGGCACGGCGACUCUGAGAAACUUGCAGAAAGCAAGCCCUGGAGCGGGGAAGGCCGGGCAUGCCCAGGGUCACACUGACAGGGUGGCUGGUGAGACAUGCAUUGUGCCGCCUCUUGUCUGUGCCUUGGAGCUCACGACACACACACACAAGGGCGAGGGGCCGCGUCAGCCCCCGAAGGGAACACACACACACCCCCUCUGUUUCAGGGGAAGGUAAUUGAGGUUUCCUUCUUUUCAUGUGAAGAAAAGCCACCUUCUAUUGAGAGAAUGUAUUCAGAGAACCUGGGAAAACUCAUCUGCACUCAGCCUCCCAAUUAACCCCAGGUGGCUG